rnacentral:rRNA from 1 species
UAAGGGCGCACGGUGGAUGCCUUGGCACUAGAAGCCGAUGAAGGACGUUACUAACGACGAUAUGCUUUGGGGAGCUGUAAGUAAGCUUUGAUCCAGAGAUUUCCGAAUGGGGAAACCCAGCAUGAGUUAUGUCAUGUUAUCGAUAUGUGAAUACAUAGCAUAUCAGAAGGCACACCCGGAGAACUGAAACAUCUUAGUACCCGGAGGAAGAGAAAGAAAAUUCGAUUCCCUUAGUAGCGGCGAGCGAAACGGGAAGAGCCCAAACCAACAAGCUUGCUUGUUGGGGUUGUAGGACACUCUGUACGGAGUUACAAAGGACGACAUUAGACGAAUCAUCUGGAAAGAUGAAUCAAAGAAGGUAAUAAUCCUGUAGUCGAAAAUGUUGUCUCUCUUGAGUGGAUCCUGAGUACGACGGAGCACGUGAAAUUCCGUCGGAAUCUGGGAGGACCAUCUCCUAAGGCUAAAUACUCUCUAGUGACCGAUAGUGAACCAGUACCGUGAGGGAAAGGUGAAAAGCACCCCGGAAGGGGAGUGAAAUAGAACCUGAAACCGUGUGCUUACAAGUAGUCAGAGCCCGUUAAUGGGUGAUGGCGUGCCUUUUGUAGAAUGAACCGGCGAGUUACGAUUUGAUGCAAGGUUAAGCAGUAAAUGUGGAGCCGUAGCGAAAGCGAGUCUGAAUAGGGCGUUUAGUAUUUGGUCGUAGACCCGAAACCAGGUGAUCUACCCUUGGUCAGGUUGAAGUUCAGGUAACACUGAAUGGAGGACCGAACCGACUUACGUUGAAAAGUGAGCGGAUGAACUGAGGGUAGCGGAGAAAUUCCAAUCGAACCUGGAGAUAGCUGGUUCUCUCCGAAAUAGCUUUAGGGCUAGCCUCAAGUGAUGAUUAUU